UCAUGACUCACGCCACCAAGGCCAUCUACCGCUGGCUGCUGUCCGACUACGUCAAAGUCAGUAACAUCUCUGCAGACGACAUGUUGUCAUAGAGACGGACCUGGAGGAGAGCAUGGAGAAGAUGGAGACCAUCAACUUCCACAGUGCGGACGGUAACAAGUGGUGAACACAGCGGUGAGGUUCAUUCAGAUUUAUUUAAAUACGCUUUUUCCCACCACAAUUUUGGCGUUGUCGGCUCGUCACACACGCGAGAGGACUCGGACACUCGGAGCUGCAGGUGAAAAACCGUAUGGCCAAAAUACGGGUGAGACGUUGAGGGCCUGACGCCUGAGUGUCUGAGGCUCCCUCACCGCUGUGAUCCACAAAGAACCUGGUGGCUGGCAACACUCUCUUUGUGGUGAAGGACAGCCGCAUGAUUGUGUUGCAGUCAUAGCAGAAACCUGCUCUCUAAGGGCAGACUUGCAGGAGACUCCUCUAACAAACCCAGACAUGGAGUUGUUUGUGGACGGCUCAGCAUCACGUGAUCCAGCUCCUGGUCAAAAACGCCAUCCCGAAGGCCGCAGAGAAGAAACUGCACGAUAUGGAGCCAGGGGACUGGAUUGUGGGAAAGGACUUCAGGAGAAAGGGCUCGCAGGUGGACCGGGCCAUUUCAGAUACUGCUAACAACAGAAACAGCAGUAAAAGUGGCUGAAAGAGCAACUUGGAUUCACGCCACCCACUGCAAACGAGUGCCAAAGCAACCAAAAGGCCUCAAACCAGGCGAAGAUGGAGAUCAGUGAUUGAGCUGAGCUUUCUCCUGCCUUGUGUUCCUAGGGAGGGAGGGGAGUGGAGGUCUCUGAGACCACCUAGAACCACUAAUCUCCCAAACACUCACCGCGGGCACACUGAAACCAACAGAUGGCUCUGGAGAGGUGACGGACCGAGACAAAACGGAGGCGUUGUUCUGCUCACUGUCAUCAUUUCCAAACAUGAAAACAACAAACUUGGCCUGACUGAGGGAAAGUUCCAGGCCGAAGAGGAGGAGAUGCACGUCCUCCCUGACAGCCCGGCUGGGCUGAAAGACAAUGCAUGGUAUGCAACCACGAUGACCACGUCAAGAAAAGUAACCAAUCAGAGCUGUUAUGCGUGUGCACAGCUCCCUCAUGGAGCGGGGAACUCCAUACCAGUGAAACCCAGACCAAUAAAUGUUUCAGAGACACUAGGAGCCCUGUUAACCUUCACUCAAGGGUUUCCCAGGGUGGGCCGAGAAGUUAAGGAUAUGACCAAGACACUUAACUGUGUAACAUCAGCAUGGUCAACUUUAGGGUUAGGUUCUGGAACACGUCUCAGAUAACCACCAGAUGUACCUUGGACAUGGGUGUCUUUCUAUAGAUCCAGAUUCAGUGUCCCCUAGGGAACACUGAAAGACACCAUGUUUCUUUGAUGAGAUAGGACUCCGACCCUGAGACUAAGCUGCAUGACCUGUUACGCUGCAGCUCACUCGGAUGAUACUCUCGGAUGUGUAUGUGUCCCCUUGAAUUCCUUCUGCAGAAGACUUGAAUAAAAUUCACAGAAAGACAA